rnacentral:rRNA from 1 species
UACGGAGGGUGCAAGCGUUAUCCGGAUUUACUGGGUUUAAAGGGUGCGUAGGCGGAUCUUUAAGUCAGUGGUGAAAUCUCUCGGCUCAACCGAGAAACUGCCAUUGAUACUAUUGAUCUUGAAUACAGUUGAGGUGGGCGGAAUGUGUCAUGUAGCGGUGAAAUGCUUAGAUAUGACACAGAACCCCCGAUUGCGAAGGCAGCUGCCUAGACUGUAACUGACGCUGAGGCACGAAAGCGUGGGGAGCGAACAGG